ensembl:lncRNA
CUGUGGAGCUCAUUAGCUGCCCGAUACACCGCUCGGCGUAGGAGAAACUAAGUGCUAACUAUCACCUUUGCCAUCAGAGCUUGCAGUGCAAGGGGUUAUGAGUGUCACCGACAGGACUCGGGCUUCUGGAAAUCCAAGUCUUCAAGAACCAGUAUUGCUUGUGGCUCUGACUGUGGGAGGUUGCAUAGAGGCAAAGACACCUGUGUUAAGAGAAUCCAGAAGUUCAAAGAUGGAUUGAUGGAGAGAGUGAGAGGGGCAGCAGUGAGAGAUGAGUCAGAGAUUUAGUCCAGAGUGGAGGCAUGCAGUGCCUGGUAGGAGCAGAGCAUGACUUUGUUGUUGAUUCAGUCUAGUGCAAGACGCCAACAGUCUUAGUAAAUUGUUGUUUGGGAACAAAAAAGGAAGAAAAAAAACUUGACAUUUCUUAUAAAGACCAAAUUUUAACAUAAAUUGAAGGCUGUCUUGUAUUUCCAUGUAUUCCCCCUGUUAGGUAGCCUGAAGUUUUGAGAAGAAGCUUUGCAACUACAAGCUUUAGUAUUCAGAAAAACACACUGAGGUGAUAAAAGUUAGUGCUAAACUAUCCCACAUUACAAUUAGUCUGCUUUAG